GGUUGCGAUCAUACCAGCACUAAUGCACCGGAUCCCAUCAGAACUCCGCAGUUAAGCGUGCUUGGGCGAGAGUAGUACUAGGAUGGGUGACCCCCUGGGAAGUCCUGGUGUUGCAACCC
rnacentral:rRNA from 1 species